rnacentral:lncRNA from 1 species
GGCUAAUGAACAUAAUAUUGACACAAAUAUUGAACAAUGAUUAGACUAGAGCAGAAAAUAGUACUUUUGAAAUGUAUAAGGAGUAACAUAAUGCAACAAGUUACAGAUUAUCUAUAUAUACAUAAAUAUAUAUAACUAGUGAUGUUGUUGCUCUCCUAUCCAAGACCAAACUAUUUCCUCAAAGGCAGGUCUUAUAUUUUGUUUCAUCAAAUGCUCAUAGUCUAUCAAAUCCCCACUAGAUUUCUUCAUUUCCACUAAAUGGUAGGAGGGGCCAAUCUCAUAUAUCUCUACAUCGACGGACAAUGCAUCCUUGGUGCUUCAUCAGGCCCUGGUCAAGUUUAACACCCUCUCCCCUUGUUCAUCAGCUUCAACCCCCCGGACCGGCGCGCAACCUCUUCGAGCUUCGACACGAUGCAAGAGGCCGAGCUCGUGGACGUGAAGCGGCAUCACCUUUUUGAUCCCGACUCACAAACAAACCAGAUAGAUCGAAUCCAUCAGAGAGAGAUAUGAUAUUGAACGCGUUGAGACUAUCUGGCCUCACGAGCUCCAUAUUGGCCUCAUCAAAAGGCUUCCCAACAAUAACAUCAUCAAAUUCCAUAUUUGGCUUGUCCACUCGUGCAUUUGAACUGCUCAGAUCAUUCUUAAACCACGGGUGCUCCAUGAUCUUGGCGGUAGAGAUCCUCGUAUUAGGGUUGGGAUCAAGAAUCCUGGACAAUAGUCUUCGCACCUCAGGGGAGAACCAAUGAGGGCACUUGUAACUUGCCUUUGCUAUGUUUCUAUACAUAUCCAUGAGGUUCCUGCAAUGGAAGGGAAGAUGUCCCGCAAGCAUCACGAAGAGGAUCACCCCGCAUGACCAGAUGUCAGAUUUUGCCCCGUCGUAACCCCUUUUGCUGAUGACCUCGGGGGAGACAUACGCCGGGGUCCCACACGUGGUGUGGAGCAACCCAUCCUGCCUUUUGGACUCGGAGAGUGCACUGAGGCCAAAAUCCGAAACCUUCAAGUUCCCAUUCUCGUCUAAGAGGAGAUUCUCUGGCUUGAGAUCACGGUGNUAACUUUUACAAUAUGUGUAGGGUUUACAGAGGGUUUUCCAACUAUGAGCACACUUUUACAAUAAGAACAGUGGUUAUGAUAAUGUGUUUGUCUCCAGGCUUAAGAUACAAAGAUUUAAAGGCCUAGAGAUAAGGGAAUGUUGUAUGCUAGUACUCUAAGAACUUAUAUUGUUGUUCCUGACUCUAGCUUUUAAACACUUUGAUAUUGCUUUCUAAUUCAAGCACAUUGACUCAAGCUUCCGACUCAAAGUUUUAACUGACUCCCUUCUAACUGUAACACCUAAUUUUUACAAUAUGUAUAGGGUUUACAGAGGGGUUUUCCAACUAUGAGUACACUGUUACAAUAAGAACAAUGGUUAGUGUGUUUGUCUCUAGGCUUAAGAUAUAAAGAUUUAAAGACCUAGAGAUGAGGGAAUGUUUGUAUGCUAGUACUAUAAGAACUUAUCUUGUUGUUCUUGACUCUACCUUUUUAAACACUUUGAUAUUACCUUUUUCGAAAAUAUGUUGAGUUCUUGAGUGUAAGAGAUUGAGCACUUAUGAGCUCUUGAGAAUUCAAAUAAGCAGUGUUAUAGGUAGUCUUCUCACUUGAAUCCUUUGGGGGUAUUUAUAGACCAUCCUUCGAAUAGUACCGUCGGAGGUGAUUGUCUUUAAUGGAGUGGUAGCUGGCUUGAAAAAUAAUCUCGUUGAAUUCUAAGGAGAGAUGUUUCUAGCAUUCUGCAGAUCCGUACAAGGUUAAUGUAAACAUAUUGCAUUGUUUCUUCAUACUCUUGUCAUUUCUGCUUAAAAGGUGGGAUCUUCAUUACAUUUUGUAUCUUCAGUAUCAAAUGCUCUGAUACACUCUGAAGGGUUUGUUAUGGUUGAUAUCCAAUAUCUUCAUAUUUCGGAGAUGAAGUACCAAUUGCAAGCUGCAUAUUUUAUCAGCAUGCACAAGUAUCGACAAGCUCAUUGGCUGAUCCUUGAGCUGAUCGAUGAGCAUGGUUAAGUCAGUAAUCGUGUGCAAGCAUAAGAUUCGUGUUUUCACAUGCAUGAGUGGUAAUAAUCAAAAUUAAGUACAAGACAUUAAUAUCAAUUAGGGUUUUGGUACAAAUUCAAAACUCUUCUGAAUUUUUCCAACACUUUAUAUUAUUAUUUAAAAUCAUGUCUCGAUGCGUCUAGUUGAUGAUAUACUCUUGAGGUGCUCAUAAGGUUUAUUGUACUAGAAACAUGGGGGUUGGAAUUAAUUCCAGGUACAAUAAAAAUACUAGAGCAAAUUAAAUUAUUGGAUAAUAUAUUAAUUAACUAAAGUUGUUAGAUAGCUUAAAGUAAUUAAUGUAUAUGUGCUAUCUUAUACAGGAGAAAUAAUUAAAUGAAAAUGAGGAUAGAUAGUGCAAUAUUUUUUUAAUAAAAUAAAUAAACAUUGAUAGACUUAAAUUUAAGUUAUAAUAAAGUUAUAGUUAUUUAUGUCUAUCAGGAGGUCAUAUCUUAAUCCUCCUAGGAAUCCCUAGCUUAGCCCAUCUAAACCUAUAAAUAUGGGAUAUGGAAAACACAAAUCACAUAUCAGAAAAGAAGAAAAAAAAAAUCACCACCAUUAUUUCUAGGGAUCAAAAUUUCAUGCUCUAGCUUUGAGGAUUUUCGUGCUAUUUUUACAGCUAUUAUGCUCGUCGUAUAGUUGUACAUCCAAUGUUCGAGCUAUAAGAAAGAAUAAGUUAGAAGGUUCUCAAGUCAAAUAUGUAGCUGCUAAAGUAUUUAAAGGCCAUUAACUACAACAAGGUAAACAUCAAAUCCCUGAGAUUUGUAGUAUUCCGUUUUACUUUAGUUGUAGUAUUUAUUAUUUGAUAGCUAUUGAACAUUAAAUAUGCAUGCUUAUUUGAAUUAUUAUCCUAUGAGAUCUAUGGCAGAGGAACUCCUUAUCCGGGUUCUAUCAAUAUAGACACACACGCUUGUAACUUUAUCAAGAAUAAGAUUACUAACAGUCACCGAGCUCUAGUUAAUAAGAACACAUCACAUUGUGGUCCUCAAUACGUAUUAAUGUACCAUCAUAAAUAACUAGGACAAGUUAUUUACUUAUUAUGAAGAGUAUAAUAUCAUCCACAUUAGAUAAUAUAUAAUCAAAAAAAUUGGGCUAAUGAACAUAAUAUUGACACAAAUAUUGAACAAUGAUUAGACUAGAGCAGAAAAUAGUACUUUUGAAAUGUAUAAGGAGUAACAUAAUGCAACAAGUUACAGAUUAUCUAUAUAUACAUAAAUAUAUAUAACUAGUGAUGUUGUUGCUCUCCUAUCCAAGACCAAACUAUUUCCUCAAAGGCAGGUCUUAUAUUUUGUUUCAUCAAAUGCUCAUAGUCUAUCAAAUCCCCACUAGAUUUCUUCAUUUCCACUAAAUGGUAGGAGGGGCCAAU